rnacentral:rRNA from 1 species
UGGGCGCAAGCCUGAUGCAGCGACGCCGCGUGAGGGAUGACGGCCUUCGGGUUGUAAACCUCUUUCACCAGGGACGAAGCGCAAGUGACGGUACCUGGAGAAGAAGCACCGGCCAACUACGUGCCAGCAGCCGCGGUAAUACGUAGGGUGCGAGCGUUGUCCGGAAUUACUGGGCGUAAAGAGCUCGUAGGCGGUUUGUCGCGUCGUCUGUGAAAUUCUGCAGCUUAACUGCAGGCGUGCAGGCGAUACGGGCAGACUUGAGUACUACAGGGGAGACUGGAAUUCCUGGUGUAGCGGUGAAAUGCGCAGAUAUCAGGAGGAACACCGGUGGCGAAGGCGGGUCUCUGGGUAGUAACUGACGCUGAGGAGCGAAAGCGUGGGUAGCGAACAGGAUUAGAUACCCUGGUAGUCCACGCCGUAAACGGUGGGUACUAGGUGUGGGGCUCAUUUCACGAGUUCCGUGCCGUAGCUAACGCAUUAAGUACCCCGCCUGG